rnacentral:rRNA from 1 species
ACGUAGGGUGCAAGCGUUAAUCGGAAUUACUGGGCGUAAAGCGUGCGCAGGCGGUUUUGUAAGUUUGUCGUGAAAGCCCCGGGCUCAACCUGGGAAUUGCGAUGAAGACUGCAAGGCUUGAAUCUGGCAGAGGGGGGUAGAAUUCCACGUGUAGCAGUGAAAUGCGUAGAGAUGUGGAGGAACACCGAUGGCGAAGGCAGCCCCCUGGGUCAAGAUUGACGCUCAUGCACGAAAGCGUGGGGAGCAAACAGG